AGUGAACGCUGGCGGUAGGCCUAACACAUGCAAGUCGAACGGCAGCACAGUAAGAGCUUGCUCUUACGGGUGGCGAGUGGCGGACGGGUGAGGAAUACAUCGGAAUCUACUUUUUCGUGGGGGAUAACGUAGGGAAACUUACGCUAAUACCGCAUACGACCUACGGGUGAAAGCAGUGGAUCUUCGCACCUUGCGCGAUUGAAUUAGCCGAUGUCGGAUUAGCUAGUUGGCGGGGUAAAGGCCCACCAAGGCGACGAUCCGUAGCUGGUCUGAGAGGAUGGUCGGCGACACUGGAGCGGAGACACGGUCCAGAGUCCUACGGGAGGCAGCAGUGGGGAAUAGUAGACAAUGGGCGCAAGCCUGAUCCAGCCAUACCGCGUGGGUGAAGAAGGCCUUCGGGUUGUAAAGCCCUUUUGUCGGGAAAGAAAAGCAGCAGGUUGAUACCCCGCUGUUCUGACGGUACCCAAAGAAUAAGCACCGGCUAACUUCGUG
rnacentral:rRNA from 1 species